rnacentral:rRNA from 1 species
GCAUAUCAAUAAGCGGAGGAAAAGAAACCAACAGGGAUUGCCUUAGUAACGGCGAGUGAAGCGGCAAUAGCUCAAAUUUGAAAUCUGGCUUCGGCCCGAGUUGUAAUUUGUAGAGGAUGCUUCGGCUUACGCACCGGUCUAAGUUCCUUGGAACAGGACGUCACAGAGGGUGAGAAUCCCGUUUGUGGCCGGUGCUUCCGCCAUGUGAAGCUCCUUCGACGAGUCGAGUUGUUUGGGAAUGCAGCUCUAAAUGGGAGGUAAAUUUCUUCUAAAGCUAAAUACCGGCCAGAGACCGAUAGCGCACAAGUAGAGUGAUCGAAAGAUGAAAAGCACUUUGGAAAGAGAGUUAAAAAGUACGUGAAAUUGUUGAAAGGGAAGCGCUUGCGACCAGACUUGCCCGCGGAUGCUCAACCGGUCCUUCGGCCGGUGCACUCUUCCGCGGUCAGGCCAGCAUCAGUUCGGGCGGUCGGAUAAAGGCCUUGGGAAUGUGGCUCUCUUCGGGGAGUGUUAUAGCCCUUGGUGUAAUACGGCCUGCCUGGACUGAGGCCCGCGCUUCUGCUAGGAUGCUGGCGUAAUGGUCGUAAGCGGCCCGUCUUGAAACACGGACCAAGGAGUCUAACAUCUAUGGCGAGUGUUUGGGUGUCAAACCCCGUGCGCGAAAUGAAAGUGAACGGAGGUGGGAACCUUAGGGUGCACCAUCGACCGAUCCUGAUGUCUUCCGGAUGGAUUUGAGUAAGAGCAUAGCUGUUGGGACCCCGAAAGAUGGUGAACUAUGCCUGAAUAGGGUGAAGCCAGAGGAAACUCUGGUGGGAGGCUCGCAGCGGUUCUGACGUGCAAAUCGAUCGUCAAAUUUGGGUAUAGGGGCGAAAGACUAAUCGAAACCAUCUAGUAGCUGGUCCUGGCGA